rnacentral:miRNA from 1 species
UGCUUGUUCCCUGUCUCUCUC